rnacentral:rRNA from 1 species
UCCGGCAGGCCUCCGCCCGCGGCGCCUAAUCCGAAGACGUCGUUCGGUGGGGAGUUUGGCUGGGGCGGCACAUCCGUUAAAAGGCAACGCGGGUGUCCAAAAGGGGAGCUCGGCGAGAAGGGAAAUCUCGCGUCGAACGAAAGGGUAAAAGCUCCCUUGAUUCCGAUCUUCAGUACUGAUACGAACCUCGAAAGAGUGGCCUAGCGAUCCUUUGGUCGUUCGCGACCUGAAGCCAGAGGUGUCAGAAAAGUUACCAAAGGGAUAACUGGCUUGUGGCGGCCAAGCGUUCUUAGCGACGUCGCUUUUUGAUCCUUCGAUGUCGGCUCUUCCUAUCAUUGUGAAGCAGAAUUCACCAAGUGUUGGAUUGUUCACCCUUCGAAAGGGAACGUGAGCUGGGUUUAGACCGUCGUGAGACAGGUUAGUUUUACCCUCCCGAUGAAAGGGAGGCGGCCGUAGCAGUAAUUGGACUCAGUACGA